CGAUCCUCUCCAUGGGCCUGAUAAUUUUAAAAGGCUUGCCUUCCUCAGAUAAAAAGUUUUUCUUUUCCUACAAGAUAAGGCAGAGAGUAAAGGGCACGGGCCUCUCUUUGCACUGGCCUUCUGUGGGCUCCGGGUCAACAUCUUUGUGGCCGACAUCGCAGAUAAGCGGGGGUGGGGGUUGCAAUCACGCCCACAAGCAACAGAGGAAAGAGAGGAGCCUCGCCCUCUUCCCCCCACUCCCCGGUCCCCCAAGCCUGCUCACUAGCUCUCUCCUCCUCCUUCCACCCGCAAGGAACCCUCCAGCCCACUUCCUGUGAUCCUUUCCGGAGCCCUUCAGCCUGGCUUGCUCUCUGGCCAUCUCGGAAAGCUUCUCUUUCCUCCCUCCAUAUUCGCAGGUUCAGCUACAGAGAACUCUCGAGGUCGCAACGGCCGUCACCAGGUCCCAGGGCCUGCGUUCAGCUGCUUGAUCCGACUAGGGUUGGCUUCGGACCCGAGUGGGUCAGCUCCGCGCCCGAUGGAGUUUUUCAAGCUGGUGCCUGCACGUGCCCCCGCCGCAGGGCAUGGAGCCGUGGGCUGCGCCCGAACUUCCCCACAACCACCGCUGACCGAAGCCUCUCCCACUCCGUCCACCGUUCGAAACCUGAAGCCGCCCUCUGUGAGAAAGCGUUGGGGUUGAAUCCAGACUUUUUGGGAACCUUAAAAUUAAAAAUACAAAAUAUUGACUAAAAAUUGGAUUUGAAAGUGA